rnacentral:rRNA from 1 species
GAUGAACGCUGGCGGCGUGCCUAAUACAUGCAAGUCGAGCGAACAGACGAGGAGCUUGCUCCUCUGACGUUAGCGGCGGACGGGUGAGUAACACGUGGAUAACCUACCUAUAAGACUGGGAUAACUUCGGGAAACCGGAGCUAAUACCGGAUAAUAUAUUGAACCGCAUGGUUCAAUAGUGAAAGACGGUUUUGCUGUCACUUAUAGAUGGAUCCGCGCCGCAUUAGCUAGUUGGUAAGGUAACGGCUUACCAAGGCAACGAGGCGUAGCCGACCUGAGAGGGUGAUAGGCCACAUUGGAACUGAGACACCGUCCAGACUCCUACGGGAGGCAACAGUAGGGAAUCUUCCGCAAUGGGCGAAAGCCUGACGGAGCAACGCGGCGUGAGUGAUGAAGGUCUUCGGAUCGUAAAACUCUGUUAUUAGGGAAGAACAAAUGUGUAAGUAACUAUGCACGGCUUGACGGUACCUAAUCAGAAAGCCACGGCUAACUACGUG